UACGUAGGGGGCAAGCGUUGCUCGGAAUCACUGGGCGUAAAGCGCACGUAGGCGGACUCUUAAGUCGGUGGUGAAAUCCUGGAGCUCAACUCCAGAACUGCCUUCGAUACUGUAGAGCUUGAGUUCGGGAGAGGUGAGUGGAACUGCGAGUGUAGAGGUGAAAUUCGUAGAUAUUCGCAAGAACACCAGUGGCGAAGGCGGCUCACUGGCCCGGUACUGACGCUGAGGUGGCGAAAGCGUGGGGAGCAAACAGG
rnacentral:rRNA from 1 species